rnacentral:rRNA from 1 species
AUUGAACGCUAGCGGGAUGCCUUACACAUGCAAGUCGAACGGAGUGGCGAACGGGUGAGUAAUGUAUCGGAACGUGCCCAGUAGCGGGGGAUAACUACGCGAAAGCGUAGCUAAUACCGCAUACUCUUGGAGCGGCCGAUAUCGGAUUAGCUAGUUGGUGGGGUAACGGCGCACCCAGGCGACGCGCCGUAGCUGGUUUGAGAGGACGACCAGCCACACUGGGACUGGGACACGCUCCAGACUCCUACGGGAGGCAGCAGUGGGGAAUUUUGGACAAGGGGGGAAACCCUGAUCCAGCCAUCCCGCGUGUGCGAAGAAGGCCUUCGGGUUGUAAAGCACUUUUGGCAGGAAAUCGGUACCUGCAGAAUAAGCACCGGCUAACUACGUGCCAGCAGCCGUGGUAAUAC